UUCAAAGUAUCUGUGGGAUCUGUUAAGUCCUCGGUAAAGAUCUUCAGUGAGAUACCACAGGAGUCGGGAUAUCAGCAGCCUCCGAAGUCUGUAAAGGCUGGCAUGGGACAGAGCACCAUCUAGGAAGCUGUGUCGGGAGCGCUCACCUCUUGACACCGCUGCUAAUAGGUGGUUAUUACAGCCCAUUUUGCUGAGAGCUGAGGUUUGGCUCUGACAGCUGCUCCAGCAAUAAAGCGUUUUACCUCAUCUAGAAAUCAUAAACAUCACAAACCUUUAAAAUACUCCUCUGUAGUUCAUAUUUUAAAUUAAACAUUGUUAUAAGUUUAGUAAGUUAGUGUAUAAAAAAGAUAUGAUUACCUAAAACAGAAGCAUUACCUUGGUAAGAGAUUUAUUUUGAAAUGUGUGUCUGUAAAGUGCAAUUACAGAAUGGUUUUAAAAUAAGUCUGAAUGCAGAUGAACUGACAGUGGGCUUUGAAUAUUUUUGCACACUGAGCAAACUGUUAAUUUGCAUUAGAGGGGAAUCUGGUUCAUGAGAAAAAUUCUAAUUUUAUAACUGAUCACAGAUUGUUUGCUUUCAUCUAUGUUGUUUUAUACCUUUCUAUAAAAUAUAUUCCUUUCUUUUGUUGCUUUUUUUUGUCAGUAUCAUUUUUUUCCUUCCUUCUUUCCUAUAUUUCAAUAUAACUUAAUAUACUUUUGCUAUAAGGAAAAUUUUAGUGCAAAAUAAAAGAUAGCCCAAUCACUAAUUCUAAUAGCAGAGACAAGUGAGCCAUGGAGAACGGUCGUCCUACUACCAAUUCAGUGCAAAAUUCCUGUUGACUUCAUGGAAGCAAUACUAGGUUUUAAAAUUCUCCAAAAUAAUAACAAAGAUAAAAAUGAUUUUGUGAUGCAGGCAAGAUACGGAAAAAAGUCUGUCCUAGUUGUAAGUGAUCAGUUGGGAUAUUUUAUAUAAACUUCAUGGUGGAAUCAGACAAUUCCAAACUUGAGAGAUAAGCAAAACGUUCUUUAUUAUAACUUCAUUAUUAACUUGAGCAAACAGUUAAAUUUUCAGUAUUUUGUAUUAUUGAAUAUGUAGCUUACUCUGUUGUAACGUUGAAACAUAUGUCAUUCAAUACCCUCUCAAGGAAAAUCUGUUCUUUCCAGUCCAAUUUUAGUAGGAUGACUUAUUAAUGAUACAUAGUACAAAGGAGUAUUGAAAUUAUAGUGUCUUCUUCAAGGCUGUCUCUGAAAUGAUGGCGGAUAUUCCUUAAAACUUGAAAUUUUCAUAUAUAUUGUGUAUAUUAUAAAUAGACGUACUUUUGCAUGGCCCUGAUCCUACAAGUGUUCUAGGCAUAAAACUGUUAGUUCUGCGUACAAGGGGCUUACUGGACAAAGCUGUUUAAUCUUCAGGUGAGAUGUGUGAUAGAAACUUUUAAGAUCAAACCUUUUACCUUGUCUCAUUUUCCUGUGUAUAAAAUAAGUCUCAUGUCUGGUUAUAAACCUGACUAGGUCAGGAAUAGAUUUUUUGAAAAUGUACAAAAUCAGCUAAAGAAUUACAAUCAUAGUUCUACAUCGUAGCUAUAGUAGUUCUACCAUAGCAGAACUACUCUAUAGUUUUUGGUAAUUCAACAGUAACGGUGCCACUAUCAUUAAAUACUGGGUAGUUCCUUACCAACAAAGAUGCCAGGUGACAAGACAGAUUACAAUCUCAGCAAAUGUUAGGAUAGACUCCAGUAAACUAUUUCCUACUCAUGU